GGUCCCAAGGGUUUGGCUGUUCGCCAAUUAAAGCGGUACGCGAGCUGGGUUCAGAACGUCGUGAGACAGUUCGGUCCCUAUCUGCCGUGGGCGUAGGAAAAUUGAGAGGAGCUGCUCCUAGUACGAGAGGACCGGAGUGGACGCGCCUCUGGUGUACCGGUUGUUCUGCCAAGGGCAUUGCCGGGUAGCUAAGCGCGGAGGGGAUAACCGCUGAAAGCAUCUAAGCGGGAAGCCCCCCUCAAGACCAGUUCUCCCCAUGAGACCCGUGGGAGACUACCACGUUGAUAGGCCGGGUGUGGAAGCGCGGCGACGCGUUAAGCUAACCGGUACUAAUGGGUCCAUUGGCUUUUACUU
rnacentral:rRNA from 1 species